CACGUAGGAGGCGAGCGUUGUCCGGAAUCAUUGGGCGUAAAGAGCGCGCAGGCGGCUUGGCAAGUCGGGUGUGAAAUCCCGGGGCUCAACCCCGUGACUGCAUCCGAUACUGUCAGGCUAGAGGUAGGUAGGGGAGAUCGGAAUUCCUGGUGUAGCGGUGAAAUGCGCAGAUAUCAGGAGGAACACCGGUGGCGAAGGCGGAUCUCUGGGCCGUAACUGACGCUGAGGAGCGAAAGCAUGGGGAGCGAACAGG
rnacentral:rRNA from 1 species